ACCACCGCCCCCCUGGCUCCCUAUUGGCUGCUCGGCGAAGCCCGGUCUCCGGGUAAGAUGGCAGCGGACGGACAGUGCUCGCUCCCCGCUUCAUGGCGGCCGGUGACCCUCACCCACGUCGAAUAUCCUGCAGGUGAUCUCUCUGGCCAUCUCCUUGCCUACCUGAGCCUCAGCCCCAUAUUUGUCAUCGUUGGUUUUGUGACCCUCAUCAUAUUCAAGCGGGAGCUGCACACGAUCUCGUUCCUUGGGGGCUUGGCACUGAACGAGGGGGUCAACUGGCUGAUCAAACACGUCAUCCAGGAGCCACGGCCCUGUGGAGGUCCCCACACGGCAGUGGGCACCAAGUACGGGAUGCCCUCCAGCCAUUCCCAGUUUAUGUGGUUCUUCUCCGUCUAUUCCUUCCUUUUUCUGUAUUUAAGAAUGCACCAAACGAACAACGCCAGGUUCCUGGACUUGCUGUGGAGGCAUGUACUCUCCCUGGGUCUCCUCACCGUGGCGUUUCUAGUCUCCUAUAGCAGGGUCUACCUGCUGUACCACACCUGGAGCCAGGUGCUCUAUGGGGGCAUCGCUGGAGGCCUCAUGGCCAUCGCCUGGUUCGUCUUCACGCAGGAGGUCCUCACCCCCCUGUUCCCUAGGAUAGCAGCCUGGCCUAUCUCUGAGUUCUUCCUAAUCCGAGACACGAGCCUCAUUCCCAACGUACUCUGGUUUGAGUACACGGUAACCCGGGCAGAAGCCAGGAACAGACAGCGCAAGCUGGGGACGAAACUGCAGUGACGGGUGAGUGUGGCUGUCUCCAGCCUCCAGAUCUGGCCUGCACGAUGCCUUGCAGGGUGGAUGGAAUGACAGACAGAGGGAUGAAGCAGAGACCUCUACAGACCCAAGUCACCGAGUGGAGCCUUUUUUUUCUUAUUUUAAUUUUAACGAACAAGGUGGACCAAAGGGCUGAGCCAGCCCCUCAGCCAGGACCCUGGAGGGCCUGUUGCCGGGGGGCCUCACAGCCAGAGACCCUCACAGUGCUGCUGCCAGCCCCCAGUUGGGCGGAAAGUGCCCCUGACGUGGGCACUGGGGCAUGGGGUAGAGAAGGAGGGCUUGAAUCUCUGGCCGCAGGGCCAGGAAAUGUAGGUGGCGUGAAAAAUGCACACUAUUUAUUUUUUGGUUUUGUCAAAGGCAGAUGGGAUUUUGGAGAGGGACUGGAAGACCCAGCUCUGCGGGGGCUGCCCUGCGUACCGAGGAGCCCAGGUCAGCUUCCCAGGCCCUUUGCCCUGGGCCCGAGAGAUGGCCUGGGGGCCCAGGAGGAGGGAGCACCCCCAUGCCCCCCCUGCCGCCAACGCCAUUCCAGAACCUCGGUCAGUGUUUCCCGUGUGGGAGCCAGGCCCAGAGAGAGCAGGCGUCUGCGCUGCCAUCGCUGUGUCCUACCCGCAUCGACCCUGCGCCGCAAGGGCUUUCUCUGGUUCCCUGUCCCCAAGACAGCGGUCCCUUUCUGAUGAAAGAGGCUGCGCCUGUGGGUGAGCAAACCCAAGCUGUUUACAGCUCUUUCCUGUCCUGCGUCCGCUAGUGGGUCGUCUUCAUCUCCACCCGAACAAAAUGCAGAGGAAGCAGGAGCUGGUGAGAGGAGUGGGGCAGCGGUGCCUACUGUCCCCACCCUUCCCUCCCCUCUGUGUGCUCUGAGCAUUCCUUGUCCUUCCCGACCCCCCUCCGAGAGGCUGGGAACCUGCUUGGGUCACCCCAAACCUGUGUCCGGGGUGUGGCUCACAGAUCCCCACUGCCCAGCUCGGAGGACGACUCCUCCCAAUCUUGAAGCCGCUUUGAAAUGGAGCUGUGGAGAGGAGAUGCGUCCAGACUUGGAAGCUUCUAGAACUGAACCAGGCUGCUCGGGACCUGUGUUCAGGGCCAGACCCCCCUCCCUCCCCCGGCCGCCUUUUCUUUGUGGAGGUUCCUAAUCUGCUGCUGAAGCACAAUAUUUUGGUGCUUUCUUUUCUCAUUUGUUAAAGACAGUGUCCAAAGCCAUUCCAGAUGCCAGGACCAGGGGCCUGUUUCUGGGGAAGCUUGAACAUGUUGACUGAGCUGAUGGGAGGAGCCGGGGACGUGGCUGUGCGGACACACAACCCGAGGGGCAAGGGCAUGGUUAAGACCAGAAGAUUGUGCGCGUCUCCAAGACACCUAGUCCCCUCCAGCCCCCAAAGCCAGGGUUGGAAUGGCCUCUGUGACAUACCCCACUGGGGUCUGAGGACAGCUCCCUUCCACUGAGUUUUUUUCGUCCCAGUCUACCUCCCCCUGUGGCACUGGCUGGCUCUGCUCUCAGUAAGCCUAGCUUCUCCUUCAUGUGACAGCCCUUGAAGACUGGGGAGAACCAGCAUGUCCUUCCUAAGCCUCUGCCAGGAUACAGACCUCCGCUCCUUGCUGAGUUCAGUGCUGCUUUAGCGUGCGGACAGGUGAGUAUCGUGCUUUGGAAGAAAUAACUGCAAACUGACCUGGGUUUCGGAUGCCUUGUAGGAGUGAAAAGAACACAAGCCAUUUCAGGGGUCCAAUGCGGGGGUUCUAACCCUUCUUUAAUUCAUUAACCUGAGAUUCAUAACAGCUUCACCCUCAGGCGAAUCAGAAGUAAUCCCAUCCUCACAUGAGCUCGAAGGCUGGGUUUGGGUUCCCCACCACGGUCCACACAACCUGGACAUUUAGUUAAGGUGACCUCAUCCCAGACGUGUGGCAGAAGCAAACAGAUCUCUGGAAGAAGGAACCUUCAUGCCAGACUUCAAUUAUUUAUACAGUUUUAAGAAACUACCAUGAACAAAAUAUAGACGAAGAUGACCGGGUAGGAAAGGAAUCACCACCAUCCUUGAGAACUAGCUGGAAACAAGUAUUAGAAACAAACCCGCACACACUUCAGGUGCUGGAAUGAUCGAGCACAGAUUUUAAGUUGUUUUACUUUUUUAAAGAAGUAAGGGACAAACUUGAAAAUAUCUGCAGGACUUCACUGGGCGUGCACUGGUUGAGAAUCCACCUGCCAGUGCAGGGGACACAGAUUUGAUCCCUGGUCCGGGAAGAUCUCACAUGUCAUGGAGCAGCUAAGCCCGUGUGCUACAACCACUGAGCUUGCGCUCUAGAGCCUGCGAGCCACAACUACUGAGCCCACGCACCACAACUACUGAAGCCCAUGAACUCUAGGGCCUGCGUGCUGCAACUGCUGAGCCCUUGUGCUGCAACUACUGAAGCCCACACGCCUAGAGCCCGUGCUCCACGAGAAGCCACUUCAAUGAGAAGCCCACGCACCACAACGAAGUAUAGCCCCCGCUCACCACAAAUGGAGAAAGCCCGCACGCAGCAACGAAGACCCAAGGCAGCCAGAAAUAAAUAUAUAUAU